rnacentral:rRNA from 1 species
GACGAACGCUGGCGGCGUGCCUAACACAUGCAAGUAGAACGCUGAAGGCCGAGCUUGCUUCUCUGGAUGAGUUGCGAACGGGUGAGUAACGCGUAGGUAACCUGCCUGGUAGCGGGGGAUAACUUCUGGAAACGGUAGCUAAUACCGCAUAAUAGUACAUGUUGCAUGACAUUUGCUUAAAAGGUGCAAUUGCUUCACUACCAGAUGGACCUGCGUUGUAUUAGCGAGGUGGUGGGGUAAAGGCUCACCAAGGCGAGGAUACAGAGCGGACCGGAGAGGGGGAUCGGCCACACUGGGAGUGUGACAGGGCCCAUAGGGAUACGGGAGGCAGCAGGAGGGCAACGGCGGCAAUGGACGGAAGUCAGAGCGAGCAGCGCCGAGGGAGGGAAGAAGAUUGUCGGAUCGUAGAGCACGGUUGUAAGGGUAGAACGAGUGUGAGCGUGUAAAGUUCACACAGUGACGGUAUCUUGUCAGGAAGGAACGGCUAACUACGUG